rnacentral:tRNA from 1 species
GGGCUGGUAGCUCAGCGGUAGAGCAGCGGCCUUUUAAGCCGUUGGUCAUGGGUUCGAAUCCCAUCCGGCCCACCA